rnacentral:rRNA from 1 species
GAUGAACGCUGGCGGCGUGCCUAAUACAUGCAAGUCGAACGCAUAGCGAAAGGUGCUUGCACCUUUCAAGUGAGUGGCGAACGGGUGAGUAACACGUGGGCAACCUGCCUCAAGGCUGGGGAUAACAUUUGGAAACAGAUGCUAAUACCGAAUAAAACUUAGUGUCGCAUGACACAAAGUUAAAAGGCGCUUCGGCGUCACCUAGAGAUGGAUCCGCGGUGCAUUAGUUAGUUGGUGGGGUAAAGGCCUACCAAGACAAUGAUGCAUAGCCGAGUUGAGAGACUGAUCGGCCACAUUGGGACUGAGACACGGCCCAAACUCCUACGGGAGGCUGCAGUAGGGAAUCUUCCACAAUGGGCGAAAGCCUGAUGGAGCAACGCCGCGUGUGUGAUGAAGGCUUUCGGGUCGUAAAGCACUGUUGUAUGGGAAGAACAGCUAGAAUAGGAAAUGAUUUUAGUUUGACGGUACCAAACCAGAAAGGGACGGCUAAAUACGUG